UAAUUAGGCUAUCAGUCUCAUUGCCGGGAAAGUGCAAAUUCAAUGGGAUUUACAAUAAAAAGAGAUUUACAAAAUAAUUUUAAUAAAUGUUAUAACAACAUUUAGCAGCUUUUUUAUUAAUUAAAAAAUUGAGACAUUCUUAAUUUAAAAACUCUUAAAUUUUGUACAAGAACUACAGCAAAAACCAGUGUAAUGCAUUUUUUAUCAAUAUUUCAGAAACUGCAUUUGAAUAUUAGCAGUAUUGAAUUUAAUGAAUUUCAAGUCCUUUAAACACGACUGUGUAAAACGGUUUAAAUUUAUGUUAUAACAACAUUUAGCAGCUUUUUUAUUAAUUAAAAAAUUGAGACAUUCUUAAUUUAAAAACUCUUAAAUUUUGUACAAGAACUACAGCAAAAACCAGUGUAAUGCAUUUUUUAUCAAUAUUUCAGAAACUGCAUUUGAAUAUUAGCAGUAUUGAAUUUAAUGAAUUUCAAGUCCUUUAAACACGACUGUGUAAAACGGUUUAAAUUUAUAAAACCUACACAUUCAAAACAUCAUUAUUACUCUGACAUUUCUUUAUGUAAAUAUUAAGUGUAAGUGAAAUGGUAAGUACAGUAAGGACUUUCAUGAUGUUAUUUGCUGGGGGUGUGAAUUUCAAAGGUGCUUGAUUUAAUAAAAUGGUACUUUAAAAAGUCCUUGAAAGUCCUUGAAUCUGGUGUUCAUGAAAGAGUGGGAACCCUGGAUAAGAGACUGACAAGUUUGUGAGCCAAUCAGAUUUUUCCGAGGAGAAAGGAGACGGGAGGAAAAAGUUUGAAAAAAGACAGCAAGAAGACGAGAGAAAGGAGAGGGAGAAAGACGCGAGUUUAACGAUAUCUUUGAGUGUUUAAAACGAGAAGCUUUCCUGUAAUCAGAAGUACUGCUCGUAUUUCUUCACUAAGGAGGCGGCUCGUUAUGACUGUGGACUGUUUCAUGUAAGUUUGCAGUUGCAUGUUUGGCUCGGCCAGAGUUGAACGCUGUGCAUGUUGGCAUACUUUCUAGACGGAAACUGUUGUUGUCUGAGCGGAGUUUCAAGAAAUAUAACGCAGACUUUUGUUUCCCGGGAGGAAAAUGUUGGUGAGCAUCGUCCAGUAACUUCAUGAGAAUUCGAUGCGCAAACAGCCAC
rnacentral:lncRNA from 1 species